rnacentral:rRNA from 1 species
UACCAGCACCCCGAGUGGUCGGGACGAUUAUUGGGCCUAAAGCAUCCGUAGCCGGUCCAGCAAGUCCUCCGUUAAAUCCACCUGCUUAACAGAUGGGCUGCGGGGGAUACUACAGAGCUAGGAGGCAGGAGAGGCAAGCGGUACUCAGUGGGUAGGGGUAAAAUCCGUUGAUCCAUUGAAGACCACCAGUGGCGAAGGCGGCUUGCCAGAAUGCGCUCGACGGUGAGGGAUGAAAGCUGGGGGAGCAAACCGG